GCUGGGGAGCUGUGUCCUGGAGGCGGGUAAUUAACAAAGUCAGAUAUCGCCGGGAGGUCAGAAAGGACAAAAACUAAGGGAAAAACCAUGGGGUUUGGCCAGAAGAGAGUCACGAAGGCCUGGUUGAGACGUUUCAACAGAAUUGCGGGGGCGGGAGGCAGCGUUAAAGGGAAGAGGAGAUGGAGGCAUGGAGCUCCGGCCACAGUGUGGAGGAUUUUGGCAGCAACAGGAACAGGAAAGUCUGGAAAUCAGCUAGCAAUGAGGAGAGUCCAGCGUGAGUUUCUGAGUCUGUGUCUUGUCCGUAUUCCAACCCAGCAGCUUCCGGCCGCCUCUCCACAUCCCCCCGCCACAGUUUCCGCUGCUUAUUUUUCAAUCCCGAGUAUUUCUUCAACCGCAGAGGACAGAUGUGGCUUUAAAUGAUAAGCACUUCACCCAGAGCCUGGCACAUAAGACGCCCUCAGGUGUGUUUGCACGAUACUUCAUUGUCAGCGAGCACUUUCACGUUCGCGAUCUCAUCUGAGUCUGACCAGAAUCAUUUGAGGGGAAAAGGAAGAAAUGUUGGAAUGAGGCAAAAGCAGAGAGGAUGACUUGUUUAAAAGUGUGGGUGGGAGAUAAUCUUCCUGUAUGGGCAGCAGGGAAUCUCCACCAGGAUGCCACAAAACCUUCAGCAAAAUCUACAUUAUUGGGCAACUCUUUUUUAAAAUUUAUUUUUAUUGAGGUAACACUGAUACACAGUAAUAUUUGUUUCAUGUGUACAACAUUAUAUUUUGACUUCUGUAUACACUACAGUGUGCUCACCAUCAUAAAUUUAGUUUCUGUCUGUCACCAUUUAGUUGACUCCGUUUACCCAUUUUGCCCUCUGCCUAACCUUGUCCCCUUUGGUAACCAGUAUUCUGUCAUCUAUAUUUAUGUGUUUGUUUUUGUUGGUUUGGCUUAUUCAUUCAUUUUGGGGUUUUUUGUUUGUUUGUAUUCAUUUUUUUCUGUUCCACAU